rnacentral:pre_miRNA from 1 species
AGUUUCCGUGGCGUGUUUAGCCGUCACAGUGACAUUUUUAAACUACAUAAUGUCACUUUGACAGCAAACCACAACAUGGAAAACU